rnacentral:tRNA from 1 species
GCGGUAGUGGCGGAAUUGGCAGACGCGUCGUACAACAUCCUGCUCCAUCCUUUUUGCCCGCUAGGCGGGCCGUCGGAUCAGGGUUAUCGGAUAUGGUGGACGCAAGUCCGUGGAGGUUCGAGUCCUCCCUACCGCA